GACCUCAAAUCAGGUAGGAACACCCGCUGAACUUAAGCAUAUCAAUAAGCGGAGGAAAAGAAAAUAACAAUGAUUCCCCUAGUAACUGCGAGUGAAGAGGGACAAGCUCAAAUUUUAAAUCUAUCGGGUUUUACCUGAUCGAGUUGUAAUUUGAAGAAGCGUUUUCUGCGUAUUUGGUCAGCCUAAGUCCUAUUGAAUGAGGCAUCAUGGAGGGUGAUAAUCCCGUCCGGUUGAUCAUUUGCGUUUUACGAUACGCUUUCUAAGAGUCAAGUUGUUUGGGAUUGCAGCUUAAAAUGGGAGGUAAAUUUCUCCUAAGGCUAAAUAACGGCGAGAGACCGAUAGCGAACAAGUACCGUGAGGGAAAGAUGAAAAGAACUUUGAAAAGAGAGUUAAACAGUACGUGAAAUUGUUGAAAGGGAAACGAUUGAAGCCAGUCGUACCUUCGGGUAAUCAGCCUUUCGGGUGCGAUUCUGUGGAGUGUGAGGAGCUUAAACACCUUCAUGUUUUGCAUAUUCGUACUCUUGGGUGUACUUGCCCGUGUGGUUGGUUAACAUCAAUUUUGGUGGUCAUAAAAUGACUGGGGGAAUGUAGCUUCGAUCUUGUAUUGAAGUGUUAUAGCCUUCGGUAGAUGUGAUGAUCGAGAUUGAGGAUUGCAACGGAUACCCUUUGGGGCUACCUGUCUGAUCUCUGAUCGUUGCUUUGGUGCCGAAAGCUUGCUUACGGUUAUCAAAGUCGAUGGUCAAUAGGUUAGAACGGGUUAAAUUCGUUAAGGAUGUUGACGUAAUGGCUUUAAACGACCCGUCUUGAAACACGGACCAAGGAGUCUAACAUAUAUGCGAGUGUUAGGGUGAUUAAACCCUUACGCGUAAUGAAAGUAAUUUUGGUGGGAACACUUUUGUGCACCAUCGACCGAUCAGGAUAUUUUUUGAUAGAUUUGAGUAAGAGCAUAUCUGCUAGGACCCGAAAGAUGGUGAACUAUGCCUGAAUAGGGUGAAGCCAGAGGAAACUCUG
rnacentral:rRNA from 1 species